rnacentral:rRNA from 1 species
UACGAAGGGAGCUAGCGUUGUUCGGAAUCACUGGGCGUAAAGCGCACGUAGGCGGAUGUGUCAGUCAGGGGUGAAAUCCCGGAGCUCAACUUCGGAACUGCCUUUGAUACAGCACAUCUGGAGUCCGGAAGAGGUGGGUGGAAUUCCUAGUGUAGAGGUGAAAUUCGUAGAUAUUAGGAAGAACACCAGUGGCGAAGGCGGCACUCUGGGCCAGUACUGACGCUGAGGAGCGAAAGCGUGGGGAGCGAACAGG